GAUGAACGCUGGCGGCGUGCCUAAUACAUGCAAGUCGAGCGAACAGACGAGGAGCUUGCUCCUCUGACGUUAGCGGCGGACGGGUGAGUAACACGUGGAUAACCUACCUAUAAGACUGGGAUAACUUCGGGAAACCGGAGCUAAUACCGGAUAAUAUAUUGAACCGCAUGGUUCAAUAGUGAAAGACGGUUUUGCUGUCACUUAUAGAUGGAUCCGCGCCGCAUUAGCUAGUUGGUAAGGUAACGGCUUACCAAGGCAACGAUGCGUAGCCGACCUGAGAGGGUGGUGGCCCACAGGGGAACUGAGACACGGCCCACACUCCUACGGGAGGCGGCAGUGGGGAUUCUUCCGCAAGGGGGGAAAGCCUGACGGAGCAACGCCGGGGGAGUGAUGAAGGUCUUCGGAUCGAAAAACUCUUUUAUGGGGGAAAAAAAAAUGUGAAAUUACCUAUGCCCGUCUGGAGGUUCCUUAAUAAAAAAGCCCCGGCUAACUACGUC
rnacentral:rRNA from 1 species